UGGGGAAUAUUGCGCAAUGGGCGAAAGCUUGACGCAGCAACGCCGCGUGAGUGAUGAAGGCCUUCGGGUCGUAAAGCUCUGUCAGGAGGAGCGAACACCCGGCAGGAACAAUACCCUGUCGGUUUGACGGUACCUCCAGAGGAAGCACCGGCUAACUCCGUACCAGCAGCCGCGGUAAUACGGAGGGUGCUAGCGUUGUUCGGAAUUACUGGGCGUAAAGCGCGUGUAGGCGGAUCCAGAAGUCGGGUGUGAAAGCCCUGGGCUUAACCCAGGAAGUGCGCCCGAAACCAUGGGUCUUGAGGUCCGGAGGGGAUCGGGGAAUUCCCAGUGUAGAGGUGAAAUUCGUAGAUAUUGGGAGGAACACCGGUGGCGAAGGCGCCGAUCUGGACGGAUUCUGACGCUGAGACGCGAAAGCGUGGGUAGCAAACAG
rnacentral:rRNA from 1 species